GUUUAGUGUGUCCUUAUUACAUAAAAAACAACUUUUUGAAGAAAAAAUUGUAAGAUCGAUAAAUUGUACCGAUAUAGCUUUUUAAUAAGUGUUAUAAUGAAAAGUAUCGCGGUAGCUCCAUCAGUAGAGCACAAAACUACUAAUCAGUGAUGGUUUUGAAGAAAGGGUUCGAAUCUCGCUCAGAACACUUGCAUUUUUUUGUGUUGUUAUAUUAAUUUUUUUCGAAUGUUUGCUUAAUUCAUAGUCAUUCUGGUUCAUUUUGACUAUAUAGUUUACUAGUAUAUCAUUUUACAUGUAUCAAAGAAGAAAUAAUGUAUCGCUUAUUGUGUGCAAUCCUAUGACUUCCAUACUCUUGACUUACUUUCUGUUCAUGUGUUUACAUUUAUUACAUAUAUUCAAGGGACAACUGCCGUCAAACUGAUGUAGGUGCCUAUACAUAACCAAUAACACGAGAAUUAAUUCUAUAGAAAUGAAGCCUACAUGUUGCGGGUGUAAUAUACACAUAACUUAAAAUAAGGCCAUUGUAUACAAGUAUCAAAACAACAAAAAACAAUUUUCGAAACCUUUUUUGAACAUGGUAUUAUAUGUAACAAAUGCAGCCAACAACAAUUUUGUCGCCAAUUUAAAAACUGUAUAGAUAAUAUAUAUAAUAGUACUGAAUUUUUUACCACCGUCCCUACACCGGUACCUAAGUCAUCAGAAAAUAAAACAACACAACAGAACAAUUAAAUCAGUUACACUACAAAUAGUAAUUGUAGGUAAAACAUCAAGAAGCUGUUGCAUUUGUAUCAAAACGAAGGGCCGAUUUGUUAAAAUGACAGAAAAGGCAAUACAACAUGUGAUAGUAACACAGGGUGAUCUAUGACAAACUGAAGUAAGAUGUUCUCCGGUUAAAAUAUAUACAUGUGUCAUCUUAUCUUAUCUUAUAGUCGACAAAUUCAGAUAUACAUAUAUUCAGAAUGAGAAAAUCACUAUUUGAAUUUGUUCGAUAUUAUUUGGCUCCUUGACAAGUUACGUGGUAUGGCGA
rnacentral:lncRNA from 1 species